rnacentral:rRNA from 1 species
UACGGGGGGGGCAAGCGUUGUUCGGAAUUACUGGGCGUAAAGGGCUCGUAGGCGGCCAACUAAGUCAUACGUGAAAUCCCUCGGCUUAACCGGGGAACUGCGUCUGAUACUGGAUGGCUUGAGUUCGGGAGAGGGAUGCGGAAUUCCGGGUGUAGCGGUGAAAUGCGUAGAUAUCUGGAGGAACACCGGUGGCGAAGGCGGCAUCCUGGACCGAUACUGACGCUGAUGAGCGAAAGCCAGGGGAGCAAACGGG